UACGUAGGGGGCAAGCGUUGUCCGGAUUUAUUGGGCGUAAAGAGCUACGUAGGCGGUUCGGUAAGUCGGGUGUGAAACCUCCAAGGCUCAACCUGGAGACGCCACCUGAUACUGCUGUGACUCGAGUCCGGUAGGGGAGCGUGGAAUUCCUGGUGUAGCGGUGAAAUGCGCAGAUAUCAGGAGGAACACCAAUGGCGAAGGCAGCUCGCUGGAACGGUACUGACGCUGAGGCGCGAAAGCGUGGGGAGCAAACAGG
rnacentral:rRNA from 1 species